AAAUUAUUAUUAUUAUGUUAUAUUAUUGUUUAAAAAAAAAAAAAAAAAAAAAAAUUA
rnacentral:rRNA from 1 species